rnacentral:lncRNA from 1 species
CUCACAGCUCUUUCCUCUCUGCUCUGCGUCCACAGGCUCCCAGAGGCAGAGUCGGCAGAGGAGCACCGCUGGAAUUUGUGGCUGUUUUUCUCUCCUCUCAGCGGGGGUCGCCACUGAAGUGCCGCUUUAAUCCCAGGCCCAGCGCGGUGGGUUAAGGAUCCAGUGCUGGCGUCGCUGUCACAUAGGCUGCAGCUGUGGCUGGAAUUCGAUCCCGGGCCCAGGAGCUCCCAUGUGCUGCAGGUCGGUUCCGCUGCUGGUGUGUGUCUGGCACUUCAGGAGGCGUUGGCCUCUUGCCGGCGUUGCGUCCAAGCCAUCCUUUGGUUCCAUCUUCCAUCUCUGUUCCCCGGGAGUCUUGGUCGAGACGGGCUGGGAAGAAGUCCUU